GUCUACAGCCAUACCACUCUAAACGCGACCAGUCUCGGCUGAUCUUGGAAGCUAAGCAGGGUUGGGCCUGGUUAGUACUUGGAUGGGAGACAGUGAAAGCUUCUGAGUUAAGAGGGUU
rfam:Nomascus leucogenys chromosome 7b, whole genome shotgun sequence.